rnacentral:lncRNA from 1 species
AUGGAACUUCAAAAACCUCCAGGAACAUUGAGCUUAGAAGGUAAUCUAUCGGAAAACUGGAGAGUCUGGAUUCGAAAGUUCGACAUAUAUCUCAUCGCUAGUGGAAUAGCAGAGAAGUCGGAGAAAGUAAAAUGCACCACGUUUCUCCAUGUUGCCGGAGACGACGCCAUCAAGGUAUACAACACGUUUCAGUUUGACGACGAUAUUGAUGAUCUGGACGUAUUGAAAGAUCUGUUUAAAAACUACUGUGAGCCUCGAAAAAACCUGACGUACCAGAGACAUUUGUUCUUCACGAGAGCGCAAGGGAAUAAAGAGUCUAUUGAUGCGUACGUCACGGAUUUGAAAAACAAAGCAAAAGACUGCGAGUUUGGAGAUUUAACCGAGUCAUUAAUAAGAGACAGAGUUGUGUGUGGAAUCACAAAUGACCAGAUCCAAGGCAGACUGUUGAGAGAGCCGGAGCUGUCGCUACAGAGAGCAGUGGACAUUUGUCGUGCUAGCGAGGUGAGCCAAACUCAACUUAAGAAGUUACACGAAGAAACUGAAGUACCGGUUCAGAAACUACACAAGCAAAAAACAUAUGGAAAAAAGGAGAGACCACAAGUCCAACCAAAGACAGAAAAAACACAAGCAGACUGUGGUAAAUGCGGAUAUAAACACGAGCCAAGAAAGUGCCCUGCAUUUGGCCAAACCUGCAACUCUUGUCACCGAAAGAAUCAUUAUGCAAAGAUGUGCAUGAGCCGUGGACGGACAGAAAUCCGACGGAAAGUGCAAGGUAUUGAACGUGACACAGAAGGUGAUGAUGAUAUGUUUAUAGGAACAAUUGAACUGAAACAAGAAGAAAACAGCCAUGUUAACAGGCUAGACAAAGUGAAAGAACAAACAAACAAUGAUGACUGGACUGCAACACUAAACAUAAACAACCAGACACUCACUGUACUGAUAGAUACAGGUGCGAACUGUAAUGUCAUAUCCAAAAGAGAAUUGGAUGCACUGAAAAUGAGUGAAAAGAACCUGAACAAAUCUUGCUAUAAGUGGGGUUUUUUGGAAAAAAAGUGA